AUGAAGCAAUUCGAUAUGAAAGAGCUUUACUGCAGUUACCAUAAUCUUUCUUCUGUCCAGUUCAAAGCCCGUGUAGACAAUUUCUUGAUCUUGUGUGUGUGUCGUUAUCUAUUCAAUGAAGCUCACCCUUCCAUUUCUAAGAAGCAUUUCUUCUUCUCAUAUAUUGGUGAAGCGAUUUUGAAUGGUUCUAAUGAAGAGUGUGUUGCUAAUGCUUUCAAUAGUGCUAAUAGUGCUUUUCCCAUGUGGAGAAGCAAUAUGGUGGUCUAG
rnacentral:rRNA from 1 species